rnacentral:rRNA from 1 species
CCUACGGGAGGCUGCAGUCGAGAAUCAUUCACAAUGGGGGAAACCCUGAUGGUGCGACGCCGCGUGGGGGAAUGAAGGUCUUCGGAUUGUAAACCCCUGUCAUGUGGGAGCAAAUUAAAAAGAUAGUACCACAAGAGGAAGAGACGACUAACUCUGUGCCAGCAGCCGCGGUAAUACAGAGGUCUCAAGCGUUGUUCGGAAUCACUGGGCGUAACGCGUGCGUAGGCUGUUUCGUAAGUCGUGUGUGAAAGGCGCGGGCUCAACCCGCGGACGGCACAUGAUACUGCGAGACUAGAGUAAUGGAGGGGGAACCGGAAUUCUCGGUGUAGCAGUGAAAUGCGUAGAUAUCGAGAGGAACACUCGUGGCGAAGGCGGGUUCCUGGACAUUAACUGACGCUGAGGCACGAAGGCCAGGGGAGCGAAAGGGAUUAGAUACCCGAGUAGUC